rnacentral:rRNA from 1 species
AGUGAACGCUGGCGGUAGGCCUAACACAUGCAAGUCGAACGGCAGCACAGUAAGAGCUUGCUCUUACGGGUGGCGAGUGGCGGACGGGUGAGGAAUACAUCGGAAUCUACUUUUUCGUGGGGGAUAACGUAGGGAAACUUACGCUAAUACCGCAUACGACCUACGGGUGAAAGCAGGGGAUCUUCGGACCUUGCGCGAUUGAAUGAGCCGAUGUCGGAUUAGCUAGUUGGCGGGGUAACGGCCCACCAAGGCGACGCUCCGUAGCUGGUCUGAGAGGAUGGUCAGCCACACUGGUACUGAGACACGGUCCAGAAUACUACGGGAGGAAGCAGUGGGGAAUAUUGGUCAAUGAGCGCAAGCCUGAUCCAGCCAUACCGCGUGGGUGAAGAAGGCCUUCGGGUUGUAAAGCCCUUUUGUUGGGAAAGAAAAGCAGCAGGUUAAUACCCCGCUGUUCGGACGGUACCCAAAGAAGAAGCACCGGCUAACUUCGUG